rnacentral:rRNA from 1 species
UACAGAGGUCCCAAGCGUUGUUCGGAUUCAUUGGGCGUAAAGGGUGCGUAGGCGGUGCCGCAAGUCAGAUGUGAAAUCUCGGGGCUUAACCCCGAAACUGCAUUUGAUACUGCGGUGCUCGAGGACUGGAGAGGAGACUGGAAUUCACGGUGUAGCAGUGAAAUGCGUAGAGAUGUGGAGGAACACCGAUGGCGAAGGCAGCCCCCUGGGUUAACACUGACGCUCAGGCACGAAAGCGUGGGGAGCAAACAGG